CCUACGGGAGGCAGCAGUGGGGAAUUUUGGACAAUGGGGGCAACCCUGAUCCAGCCAUUCCGCGUGAGUGAAGAAGGCCUUCGGGUUGUAAAGCUCUUUCGCAAGGGAAGAAAACUUAUGAUCGAAUAAAUCAUGAGGUUGACGGUACCUUGAUAAGAAGCACCGGCUAACUACGUGCCAGCAGCCGCGGUAAUACGUAGGGUGCGAGCGUUAAUCGGAAUUACUGGGCGUAAAGCGUGCGCAGGCGGUUUUGUAAGUCGGAUGUGAAAUCCCCGGGCUCAACCUGGGAACUGCGUUCGAAACUGCAAGGCUAGAGUGUGUCAGAGGGGGGUAGAAUUCCACGUGUAGCAGUGAAAUGCGUAGAGAUGUGGAGGAAUACCAAUGGCGAAGGCAGCCCCCUGGGAUAACACUGACGCUCAUGCACGAAAGCGUGGGGAGCAAACAGGAUUAGAUACCCUGGUAGUCCACGCCCUAAACGAUGUCAACUAGUUGUUGGUAGAGUAAAAUCUAUGAGUAACGUAGCUAACGCGUGAAGUUGACCGCCUGGGGAGUACGGGUCGCAAGNUUAAAACUUCAAAUGAAUUGACGGCUUGGNGNGNGCGAGCGACGACGAGGAGAGG
rnacentral:rRNA from 1 species